rnacentral:lncRNA from 1 species
CGAAACAGACGCUCCUUCAAUCACUCACUACGCUCUAGGAGGAGUCAGAACAAUCAAUCAUUAACUUUCGCGAUAAAUCACGCCUCUCGCAUCUUGCCCUCCUAAGGUUUGCCAAUCUUAGGGUUCCUAGGUCCCAACGACCUAAUGCUAAACUCUGGUACCAACUUAAUCUGUCACGCCUCGGAUUACUCGUUUUUCCGGGCACGCUAACAGACCCGCCGUAUAUAUAGAAAUUUUUUCUGUAUACGAAGCGAAAAAGUAAAAGUACCUGUAAUCAAACAAUACUACAAAUAGUAGUAUAGAGCUGCUAGAAAACUAAACCAUAUAUAAAACAGUGGUUCGAUACAUACAUAUCAUCCUGGUACAAAAACACUCGCUCCAGCGAGGUACAAUAUCAGUAUGUAAAGAACUAAAAACUACAACUAUCUGUAGCUGGUACUCCUCUAGCUCUGGCUCGUCUAGAAGGGCUCUAACUCGUGACGCCCUCGCCACGAUCUGAAUAAGUAAUAGCAGCAGCCGAAGGCAAUGGCUCUACAAAAACAGGGGUAACAACUGGGCGUGAGAACUACUGCAAAAGAAGUAGUCCUCAGUGGGUACCGCUCUCAAACUCAUCGGCUCACCCACUAAGUCUACAUAUCUAUGCUCAGUGAUAAAAAAGGAAGCUGGAACAAAUCUACGGCUAUAUGCCACUAUCCUAUCAUGAACCAAUACUACUAUCUGUAAUGCAACCUCAGACUCAAAUCCAUAGGGACUGUGAACACACCUGUCCCAGGGACUGUGAACACACCCGUCCUGCCUGUCGAAUUCUAAAUGCUACCUCCACACUAAUCAAUCCGUGGAGAGCAAGUCCAACUAGGACACUACACAACGCAAACGCACAAAGCCUGACUCCGGAGUGGCACUCGUGGGCGCUACCCAACCGAGUAUGCAAGCGUAUCUCUACUAAGCUCAAUCAGGCUCUCACAGGCUAUAACCAAGUAAACAGGGUCCAACUGGUCUAACAAUCAAAACUCACGUACCCUCGGCACAAUCUGAUGCAAAACCUGCAAUCUGGGUCUACCGUCAACCCCGACGGCACCCGACAGUCCGAAACAGCCUAGACACUGCUGUAAAAAUAAACUUGGCAUCUCCGCACGAGCAUAACUGCAUUCUACACUAUCUCAGGUAUCUACCGCCAAUAACUGCGGUGAUACAGAUCAACUACAGCUCCUAAGCUUUCAGCGUAUCAAAUGCACACAACAGUGUGGAUACUAUCCG